CCUACGGGUGGCAGCAGUCGGGAAUAUUGGGCAAUGGGCGAAAGCCUGACCCAGCAACGCCGCGUGAAGGAUGAAGGUCUUCGGAUUGUAAACUUCUUUUAGCUGGGAAGAAAGACCACUUUUUAAUAGAAAGUGGAGAUGACAGUACUAGCAGAAUAAGCACCGGCUAACUUCGUGCCAGCAGCCGCGGUAAUACGAAGGGUGCAAGCGUUAUUCGGAAUAAUUGGGCGUAAAGGGAAUGUAGGUGGUUUAUUAAGUCAGUUGUUUAAUUCCCCGGCUUAACUGGGGCUCUGCAAUUGAAACUGGUAGACUAGAGGUUGGAAGAGGCAAGUAGAAUUCCAGGAGUAGCGGUAAAAUGCGUAGAUCUCUGGAGGAAUACCAAUGGCGAAGGCAGCUUGCUGGUCCAUACCUGACACUGAUAUUCGAAAGCGUGGGGAGCAAACAGGAUUAGAUACCCCGGUAGUC
rnacentral:rRNA from 1 species